rnacentral:tRNA from 1 species
GGGCCUAUAGCUCAGUUGGUCAGAGCACCUCGUUUACACCGAGGGGGUCGGGGGUUCGAGUCCCUCUGGGCCCA